rnacentral:rRNA from 1 species
GAUCCCAUCAGAACUCCGAAGUUAAGUGUGCUUGGGCGAGAGUAGUAGUAGGAUGGGUGACCUCUUGGGAAGUCCUCGUGUUGCACCC